UGCUAUUUCGACGUUAACUUUCUCUUCUGUCAUUUCCUUUAUAAUGGCCUUGUUGUUUUUACUCUUUCUCAUCGGAGACGUUGAACGAAACAAAAUGCAUGUGUGGUCCCUAGAGGUUGAGGUGACUGUAAAUGCUUCGCUCCAUUGUGACGUGUUGCUGCCCUGCAUUUUCAAGGCGGACACAGAUCAAGUGGAUCUCACUCACCUCCUUGUAACUUGGGAAUACAACAGCACUGAGCUGAUAAAGUAUAAAAAGAACGAUGUAAAAAACAACUCCAGGGCAGUUCUACUGGAAAGUAACCUCCUGAACAGAGAUGCUUCCCUUCUCCUCAAGAAUGUUACCAUUAAAGAUAAAGGAAUAUAUACCUGUAACGUUGUGUAUUCUCCACACCAGAUUAAAAAGAAUGUUAGUCUUAAAGUUAUAGCAACUCCUAGAAUUUCUGUGAGAAGUAACCUGGCUAAGAUGAACAUGGAAAAUACCCUGCCUUGCACUGCAGAUGGUUUUUACCCCAGCAGUAUUAAUAUUGCAUGGUUCAGAGAUUCAGAAAGGAUCAAACAAGAGACGAGCCUUGCGCCAGAAGAAAAAGCAGAUGGCACCUUCAGUUUAGUGAGCUAUUUAACAUACAAGACACAAAGCAGUGAUGCUGGUGUGAAUUUCUCCUGUCAAGCACAACAUGAGUCUCAGAAUGAGCCAUUGAUAUUCACAUUUCAACUGCAGUUUUACAAACGUCCUAAUGUGACCAUCACUCCUACAGCUGUAGAAACAGGCAAGGAAGAGACGGUCGCUUGCAUUGUGGAUGGCCAUUUCCCGGAUGAUGUAAAUGUGACCUGGAAGAAGAAUGGCGAGGUACAGGCAAAGGCAGAGUGGAAAAAUGAUGGCACCUUUAUUACAAGAGAGUUUUACUUGCUGAAAACUGAUAAUAAGGAUGACAUAUUUUUUUGUGAAGUGGCACAGGAAGGAUUUCAUGAGUCAAUUAUUCAACAAGUUAUAAUAACAGAUCCCAUUGAACAAAAGGGGAAAACCACAAUGAUUUUGAUUCUAGCACCAGUCGUGAUCAUUUCCCUGCUACUAACUGUUCUAGCUGGUCUGAGUUUUCGUCUGAUUUACAAAAAAUCUCCACCAGUGCUCUCUGAUAUUUCAAUGGAGUCCCCUAAUAAGCUGAACAUUAAGGCCAGUCACUUCUACCCCCAAAAAAUUGAGAUCAAAUGGUUUGAAGAUUUGUCAGAAAAUAGCAGUUGUACAAUAGAAGGUGACACCGGGUACUUCUCUACUUCUAGCUCAUGUUGUUUCACUUCCAAAAUUCAUUAUAAUUAUCCAGUCUCAGUAAAGGUGCGCCAUGAGUCAUCGGAGAAGCCGCUGAUUAAGAAAUUAGAACAAAGGAGGCAAGGCUCGCCUUCAGAUAGAAUCCCUGCUGUCUGUGAGAUCGAAGUUACUCACGUUAGGGAGACUGGUAUCUGCAUACUGAGCUGCAUGAUAACAAGUUUUACACAUCCACCUGUGGUGUCCUGGAUUCAAAGACGGCUUUCCAGUGAAGAAACUAUCACAAGUGGAGAAGAGUUUUGGAGUCCUGCAAUUCACAACUCAGAUCCAGUGAAGCAAAAUGAUACCUUUUUUUACAUGAUAUCUAGAGCCGCAUUCUUUCACACCCAAGUGAAAAACAAUUUUCGUUUUAUUUGCAAAGUAGAGCAUGACACAUUGGACCAACCGAUUGAAAGAUGUGCACAAAAUAUAGAGUGAAGUGUGAAGAGUGAAGCUUCACUCUGUCACAUGGGUUUUGGCAGUGUGUAAAAGCCAGUUGCCUUAUGGGCCAAACCUGUGGGGUUUGCAAAAGGGCAAAACUACAAAUGUCAUUGAUGUAAUUGCCAUAUUUAUUGUAAUCAAUAAUGGAGUGUACUUCAAAUAGAGACUUACACUUACAGUGUACAGAACAACAGAUACUGUAUGUCAGGUACUGAGGACAGACACAAUUACUGCUUUUAUUGGAGACUUUGCAUAGCUUGUUGCCAAAGAGGUAUGUGAAAUGUGUGUAAUAAUGAGCAGGUAGUAUUGUGUACUGCAGUUAUGUGAAUGAGGACCUCAGAUCUGAUUAAGGACGGUUAAAUUCUGAUGUGAAUUGACUAGGUAUUUGGAUAUGGGACUAUUCAAAUUUCUAAGGUAAAUAGAUAUUUUUAAACAAUUAUUAAAGGAUGAAAAACAUGCCUGUCCACCUGAACUCCAGAACAUGCACUGAAGAAUCCCAUUCAUCUCAUGCCUUGGUAAUAGUAAUGAUCACUGAUUCAACCAAACGUAAUUAGACUCAGAUCUGAUAGCUUAGAUGGCCAUAGCAUAGAGAAUUUAAUUGUCCUGGUCAUAAAACAGUAUAGCUGAUAUGUUUUAGUCAUGGUUCUUUAACUUUAGAAAGGAGAAGUGCCUGAUGACUAGAAAGUUGCAAACAUGACUCAGGUCUUCAAGAAGGAAGACAAAUGGACUCUGUACAGAUCAAUGUGUUACUUCUGUACCAUGAAAAAUUGUGGAAACUAAUAACGAAUAAGUCAGAAAGGUACAUAUAUGAAAAAUGACAUAAUAAAUUGGGUUUUUUGAGUGGAAGAUCUUGCCAAACCAAUCUGCAACUGCAAUACUUGACCAAAAUCAAUACAUACAACAGAAUUUACAUUGACUUUCAAAAAACCCUUGAUCUCGUCCAACACCAAAGUUUAAUUUUGAAACUAGAAGCUGUAGGCAUCAGAGGCAAUCUGCAAAAUGGGAUUUCAAGUUGAUUAAAUGACAGGAGACAACGAGUACAAGUAAGAGGAGAGUGAGGUCAUCUGUGGAAUCGCUCAAGGGGUCUGACCUUGGACCAUAACUUUUUCUGAUUUAAAUUAAUGACAUUGAUUCUGGUAUAGUUAGUAAACUUGUCAAACUUGCAAAUGACACUAAGCUUGGACGAAUUACAGUGCACUAAGUAGCCAGCAACAACAAUUUAUGAGGACUUGGACAAACUUCAGAACUGAUCAAAUUCUUGGAAAAUGCAGUUUAACGUAGAAUAGUAAAAACCUUUAGGCAAAAUUCUAAAUAAAAGAUAGGAGACACUGAUCUACUGAAAGCAACCUCUGAAAAGAAUUUAGAUGUUUAUGUUGACACAAUGCAAGUCAUCUAAGGAAUGCACAGAAGCAGAUAAAAAGGCAAAAAAAAAAAAAAAA